AUUGAACGCUGGCGGCAGGCCUAACACAUGCAAGUCGACCGAGCGGCGGACGGGUGAGUAAUGUAUGGGGAUCUGCCCGAUGGAGGGGGAUAACUACUGGAAACAGUAGCUAAUACCGCAUACCAUCAGAUGAACCCACAUGGGAUUAGCUUGUAGGUGAGGUAACGGCUCACCUAGGCGACGAUCCCUAGCUGGUCUGAGAGGAUGAUCAGCAACACGGGAACUGAGACACGGCCCAGACUCCUACGGGAGGCAGCAGUGGGGAAUAUUGCACAAUGGGCGCAAGCCUGAUGAAGCCAUGCCGCGUGUAUGAAGAAGGCCUUCGGGUUGUAAAGUACUUUCAGUCGGGAGGCGUUACCGACAGAAGAAGCACCGGCUAACUCCGUGCCAGCAGCCGCGGUAAUUC
rnacentral:rRNA from 1 species